rnacentral:lncRNA from 1 species
GUUAUAAAGUGAUGCGUUUUUCACAGCAACAGCUUCUAGGGGCAAUACAAGGAAAGAAAAAGAAAGAUGAUCCAACAUCAGGGAAGACAGCUGCUAAAGCGGUUGUCCUCUGUCACCUAGACUGCCGCACAGAUGUCCGUUCAGUUUCUUGUCUCACCACCCAAGGUAGGUCAUUUCCUAAUCCCAUCUCUUUUCCUUCCUAAUUUACUUCCUCGGUGUAAUUGCACACACAAA